AGCGAACGCUGGCGGCAGGCCUAACACAUGCAAGUCGAACGAAGUCUUCGGACUUAGUGGCGGACGGGUGAGUACACGUGGGAACGUGCCUUUAGGUUCGGAAUAACUCAGGGAAACUUGUGCUAAUACCGAAUGUGCCCUUCGGGGGAAAGAUUUAUCGCCUUUAGAGCGGCCCGCGUCUGAUUAGCUAGUUGGUGAGGUAAAGGCUCACCAAGGCUACGAUCAGUAGCUGGUCUGAGAGGAUGACCAGCCACAUUGGGACUGAGACACGGCACAAACUCCUACGGGAGGCAGCAGUGGGGAAUCUUGCGCAAUGGGCGAAAGUCUGACGCAGCCAUGCCGCGUGGAUGAUGAAGGUCUUAGGAUUGUAAAAUCCUUUCACCGGUGAAGAUAAUGACUGUAGCCGGAGAAGAAGCCCCGGCUAACUUCGUGCCAGCAGCCGCGGUAAUAC
rnacentral:rRNA from 1 species